GUCUCUGUAGUGCAGUGAGUCAGUGUGUUUGGCUGUUAACCAGAAGCUUGUUGGUUCGAACCCAUUCAGGGAUG